CGGCGGACGGGUGAGUAACACGUGGGUAACCUACCUAUAAGACUGGGACAACUUCGGGAAACCGGAGCUAAUACCGGAUAAGAUAUCGAACCGCAUGGUUCGAUAGUGAAAGAUGGUUUUGCUAUCACUUAUAGAUGGACCCGCGCCGUAUUAGCUAGUUGGUGAGGUAACGGCUCACCAAGGCAACGAUACGUAGCCGACCUGAGAGGGUGAUCGGCCACACUGGAACUGAGACACGGUCCAGACUCCUACGGGAGGCAGCAGAGC
rnacentral:rRNA from 1 species